rnacentral:snRNA from 1 species
UGCUUUCUCUUCAGAUUGCAAAAAUCUUUCGCCUUACUAAAGAUUUCUGUGAAGAGGAGCAUUUAU